rnacentral:tRNA from 1 species
GGGGAUUUAGCUCAGUGGUAGAGCACUUGCCUAGCAAGCACAGGGCCAUGGGUUCAGUCCCCA